GGCGGCCGAGGGCAUGCCCGGGGGCGGCGGCGGUGUCAGUGCCGGCACGCCGGGUGGUCUCGGCGCGGCGGUUCCGGGCAGCCCGGCCGCCG
rnacentral:tRNA from 1 species